GUUGAGGUGUGUCCUGAUGGGGCUUUUUUUCUGUAGACCUAUAUUAUUGGAAACACCUUGUAGAGUACAUUUGUGGUUUCCUUUAUUCACAGAAAAAUGUGUUAGAUCUGUGGGAAAGAACUACAAGACAUCU